rnacentral:misc_RNA from 1 species
AAAAUUGCAAGCCGGCCUCGCGCCGCGCACCGCAAACCAAUGUGAACUCACCCGUUGCUUCGGCGGCAGGCCUCGCGCCGUCAGCCCGCCGGAAGCCGAACGAAAUCAUUUCUGUAAACUUCAGUCAGACACAAUAAAGUAAAUCGUUA